GAGCGUGAGCAACCAUGUGCGCAUGCGUGUGGAAACAACCACUCUCUUCUUUGAAGCAGGACCUCUCAAUCAAACUCAGAGCUCAUUGAUCUGGCCAGUCUUUCCUGUCCUCUUGCUCUGAGGAUCGGGUCUCAGCCUCCAAGGCUGAAAUUACAGGCAACUGUCAAGCACACCCAGCAUUCAUUUGGGAUCUGAACUCCUGUCCUUACUCUUUCACAGGAAGCGCUUAGACCACUCUGCUACUUUCUGGACCAGAUGCUGGUACUUGGCCAUCCUUCUAAAAAAGUAAAAGUUAAGACUGUUUAUUCUGGAAUGGAUAGAGCAGUGUUAUCCAUGACACUACCGUUGUCUAGUUUCUGAACAGGGGUCUGAAGCCACCUCAUUCACCCCAAUGGAACCCUUUUCCCACACUCUGCCAGUACUCUGCACAGAAGGGAACCUUCAAAAACACAAUUUCCAGGCAAACUAAAGGACAGAGUGGGAGUGUUUGUAUCCUUUGGUCCUUCUUUAUCAUCUCUUUUCAAAGUUGUCUUCUGCUUCUUUCCUUCCAGCCACCGGCACUUAGCAGAACAUCUCCGUCUGUGAUGGUUUGUAUAUGCUCUGCCCAGUGAAUGGCACUAUUAAAGGAUGUGGCCCUGUUGGAAUAGUGUGGCCUUGUUGGAGUAGUUGUGUCACUGUGGGUAUGGGCUUUAAGACCCUUAUCCUAGCUAACUGGAAGCCACUAUUCCGCUAGCAACCUUCAGAUGAAGAUGUAGAACUUAGGUCCUCCUGCACCAAGCCUGCCUAGAUGCUACCAUACUGCCAUCUUCAUAAUAAUGGACUGUACCUCGGAACCUGUAAGCCAUCGCAAUUAAAUGUUGUUCUUUAUAAAAGUUGCCUUGGUCAUGGUGUCUGUUCAUAGCAGUAAACCCUUAACUAAGACACCCUCAAAAACUCAUUCCCCUUCCCUGGAACAUGCCUCUUUUAUAGAUGCACCUCCUUGAGGGUUCUAGGCGACCAUGAUGGCAUCCUCUCACAACUCUGACAUGCAUUCAAGAACUGCCACAAUGAUUGGGAUUGGAAGGUUAUUUUCUAAUAGUGUCCAGUAACCAAAGUAACAACAAUCUUAGUAAGUGACUUCUGCCUCGGUCUGAGCCCUCCAGAGAAGCAGAACACACACACAGCCUGCAUAUGCACAGAAGUGUCUGUAUUGUAAGAAUUUUAGUCAUGUGAAUGAGGAGACUCAUGACUGUCAAUGCUCCAGUUUACCUCAUAGGAACGGGGAGUCAAUAAAUUCAACAUCAGCUGGCUGGAAAAUUCCUUCUUUUGUUCUAUUCAGACAUUUAACUGUCUGGGUGAGGGCCACCCAUGAUGCCAAGGACAACCUGCUUUACUGAGAACUCACUGACUGAAAUAUUCAUCUCAUACCCAACUACCUUCAACAUUAACAUUUAGAAUAUUGGGCAAAACCUCUGAGUACACUCAGUCCGAGCAAGGUGAUGCCCAAAAGAGAUGCCACACUUGGAUCUGGAUACAAAGUGACUUCCAAAAGGCUCAUGUCAGAAGUUUGGUCCCCAGAGAAUGAUGCCACUUCUGAAAGGUGACUGAACAAUGAAGUGGGCCAUGGAGAGCCUCUACAGGGUGUAUCUCAUCCUCUGACCUUCCUCUUCCUCCCUCUGCUUCCCAGAUCUCAAGAGGUGAGCAUCUGUGCUCUGAUGUGUUUCCACCAAUGUUUUGCCUUGCUACAGGCACAGGACCAAUGAUGUCAGGGAAGCAUGGGCUCAGAUCUCUGAACCUGCAACCUUGGGUCAGUCUGUCCUGUUUUUAAUUGCUUUACACAGGGCAUUGAGAUGGCUCAUCGAGUAAAGGUUCUUGAGGCCAAACCAGAUCACCAGAGAGCAAUUCCUGGGGCCCACGUGGUGGAAGGAAAGAACAUAGAAUUGUCAUCUGAGUUCCACAUACACACUGGCACAUAAUGUGCAUGCAUGUGUGCACACACAUGCACAAAUAUGUAAAUAAAAAAACAUAGUAAAAUUUUAAAAUUACUUCCCUUGACAUUUGUUAGAACAACUUCAAAAGCCAACUGACAUACCUAGUACCAUGUCUCAUCCCAGCGAUGUCUGGAAGUAAAAGUCCUGUAAUUCUUACGCUUCUCAGUCACUGCUGAAUCUUUUGGAAGUUUCAUUAUUCAGUCCCUUCAGGGGAUGAUUUAAAUGGUGUCCCUAACAGAGGCACACAGCAUUCUUGUCUGAUACUGAGGCUGAUAGUAGGAGCUGGGGAUGUAGCUUAGUUGAUUUAAGAGGGCCUACUCCCCAGCACAGCAUAAACCUGACUUGGUGUCUGAGCCUGUAAUCCCAACCCUCAUAAACUAGAGGUAGGAGAAUCAGAAACUCAAGGCCAUCCUUGGCUACACAGUGAAUCUGAGGCCUGCCUGGGCUACAUGAGAAAAAAAUAGCCACACAAAGGAAACCAAAAGCUCUGGUAUUAUACAUUACUAUGUCACCAAAUCUAGAUCAACCCUCCUUCAUCUUGCAUGGGCAUGAAUGGGUGUUCAGGAUCCUGUUAAACAACCCUGAGUAAUGUUACAGAUCCCUGGAGUCCAACUCCUGUUUUUAAAGCCAAGAGGUAAACAGGGAAAGAGAGAGUUAACUUUCACUAGUGGAAAUGAGCCCUGCACUCCCCAGCUGUGAACAAUCAGGCUUGUCAGAUUCCCUCCAGGAAACUCCUGCCGAUUUAUUGGGAUGAAUGGGGAACAGGAUUUUGACUUUUUGAUAGGUGAGGCUAUAAAUCCACCAUCAAGACUGCAGAGGACCAGCUGGGCUUACGUACACACGCUGCAUCUUUAAUUAUGGACCCCACAAGAUGUAGAGCUCAGGAAUGCCCCACUGUGUUCCAAGCAGAGUGGGGAGAUGGAUCCACGGGAUAAUGGCCAAGGAUUCCAUCUUUUAAAAGAGCACAGAGAAAGGCAAGAGCAGCCAUGCAGAAAGAGGCCUUGGGCACCCUGGUGUAUCAACCUGCAGGUAGCAGUGUGCACAGAAAGGCCCUGAGUACCCUGUUGUGUCAAUUUGGAAAUAAUUUGCUUAUGCACAGUUCUUUCUCAUGCUGAGUCACAAUUUUGUAGCUUUCUCUGAAUUUUAUGUAUAAUUUUACAUUUAUCUUUGAUAUAAAAAUGAAUAAUCCAGCCAGGCAUAGUGGUGUGCACUUUUAAUACCAGCACUUAGGGGGCAAGGGCAAGCCGAUCUCUGCGAGUUUGAGGCCAGCCCAGUUGAUAUAGGGAUACAUAAUGAGACUUUGUCUUUUAAUUAAUUAAUUAUUUUUGAGAAAGGAAGGAAGGGAAAAAAAGAUGAUGAAGAAAUCCAGUUCUCGGGGCCUAGCAAACACAGAAGUGGAUGAUCACAGUCAGCUAUUGGAUGGGUCACACGGCCCCUUAUGGAGGAGCUAGAGAAAUUACCCAAGGAGCUAAAGGGAACUGCAACCCUAUAGGUGGAACAACAAUAUGAACUAACCAGUACCCGGGAGCUCUUGUCUUUAGCUGCAUAUGUAUCAAAAGAUGGCCUAGUCGGUCAUCACUGCAAAGAGAGGCCCAUUGGACUUGCAAACUUUAUAUGCCCCAGUACAGGGGAACACCAGGGCCAAAAAGGGGCAGUGGGUGGGUAGGGGAUUGGGGGGGUGGGUAUGGGGGACCUUUGGGAUAGCAUUGAAAAUGUAAACGAGGAAAAUACCUAAUUAAAAAAAAAAAGAAAAAAAAACUACUAGAUGAAGUGGGGAACUUAGCAUCAGGUGCUUGUUUAGUACACAUCCAGCCUUUUAUUCAACCACAACAUUGAAAUAAAAUAAUAAAAAUUAAUAACACAAGACCACCACCACCACAACAACAAAAAUAUGAU